rnacentral:lncRNA from 1 species
GAGAGAGAGAGAGAGAGAGAGGUGUUUUGGAGUUGUGGGUUACUAUGUAAUGGGACUUGGUGUUGGGAAGUUGUGGGAGUGAUGGUGGUUGAGGUAGUGGGAAGGGAAUUAGCGGUUAUGUAGUUUAGGCUUCCACUGACUUGGUCAAUUGUUCUUGUUCUGGCAGAUAAGAAAGUGCAGUUUUGUUAGCAUGAUUUGAGGCCCGUUUGCAAGGAUCAAGGAUCAUGGGCCUAGAUGAGAACAUUCAAUCCCCACUAACUCUGUAAUUAGGAAUUUUUUGGUAACUUCCUUUUUGUUUCUUUUUCCAUGUUCUUUUGGAAUUGGCAAUGCUCCCAAAGUUUUUGUUUUUAUUUUUAUUUUUUAGUAAGAGAUUGACAAAUGGAGAAAAAUUCAUUAAAACAGUGAGAGGCAGAGCCAAAAUAAAGGUUCAGCAAGAUCAAAAUUACCAGAGUUUAUAUCCAGCGGGGUCAAAAUUAUUAGAACUUAUGUUCAACGGAUCAAAAUUGUAAAAGUUAUAGAAUUUUGGGCAAAUUAUUAAUUUUUUAUGGAGUCAAAAUUGUCAGAAUAACGAUAUCAAAAUUGCCAGAACUUAUGUUUAAUGAGUCAAAAUUUAUAAAUUUAUAGAAUUUAUGACCAAUUACUAAUUUUUUGUGGGGCUAAAAUUAUAUUUAUGAUAAAUUAUAUUAGAAAUAGUAGUGUAUUUUUUUUUCCAAUAAGGUCAAUUGACCUCACUUGCCUAGUGUGACUCCGCCCAUGAAAACAGUGAUAUCACAUCAUCAAUACCACGUAAUUUCACCAACCAAUUACAAGCUACAGUGUAGGUAUUUAUUUUUUUGAUAGCACCUAACUGAAUUGGAUUCAAGAGAAACUAAUUUAGGAACCCUAAAGUUAAUGGGCAGAUAAAUAUUGAACCCCACUAUACAUACAUGACAGUUAUCGAUAUUUCGAAAUCAAUAGUGUGGAGUUCUCUCAUCCCCUAUAGAAGUUAAUUAUUGGCCGAUAACACCAUGUGUGUUACUGAUGACGACGUCGUAUCGUUGUUACAAUGAAUUUUGACUUGAUAAAUAGGUGUUGAUUAAUAUUACCCAACUUUUAGUAAAGUAGGACCUCUUUAAUUGGCUAGAUUAAUAGACUGAAUGAGAAAUCCAACAGGAACCAUGUCUCUCUAGCGUUUGGAUGCAACAAUUAGUCAGAGAAUUACAUAAUUACAUAUCUGUUGGAUAAACAAUCUAGCACAAUAUGAGAUAUAUACAAAAUACUUUGAGACUAUGAUUUUAAAUAAUAUUCUCUUAAUUUUUUAGUCUGAUAAAAUUACAAUUUUUUUUUUUUGAAAAUUUUUAACUAAUUUGAUUUUUAAGUUUUUUAUAAUUUUUUAAACUAUUUAAUUAAAAUUUUAUAUUUUUCUCAUUCCUCUUAUCACAAGGGAUUAGAAAAUCUAAAUUUUUUAUCUAGUUUAAAAAAAAUCCACAGAAGAAAAAAGAUUUAAUAACAAAAUAGUUAAAUUUUUGUCUCUAAUGGAUUUUUUUCUCCAAAUUGAAUAAUUUUUAAAAAAAAAAAUCAUUUUCAGAUUCAUCUUGUUAAAAAAAACCAAAAAAAUAUAAAAUUUUAAUCAAACGGUGAAAAAAACUUGAAAACCAAAAUAGUUCAAAAAAUUCAAAAAAGGCUAUGGCUUGUACUGGACCUCAGUCCCACAAAAUCAUAAACUUUGUUUGGUUCAUUUUUCAGAAUCAAUUUUGCAAAAUAAAUUUUCAAAAACUAUUUUUAAAAAUAAAACAUUCAUCAUCCAUGUUAUUCAUUUCUUAGAAGAAAUAAUUUUUUAGAAUUUAAAUACGUGUUUUCAAUGCCCUCUUAUAAAUAUGUUUUUUUAAUUAAAAAAUUAUCACAAAACAACUUUAACUCGAUAAAAUUGUCAACCAACCAGUUUUUUUUUUUAAAAAAAACUAUUAUGCAAAAUUAAUUUUAUAAACAACAAACAAAAACACAAAUAUUUUCUGUUCCAGCGAAUCAGACACAAUGGUCUUGGCCCACUCAGCCAUAUGUUUCUCUGAAAUGAUGAUUUGUAAUUGGAGGAUUGAAUUGGGCUGACCAAGAUCACCCAGUCUAUAUAUCAAACCAAUUCUUAUUUUAUUUUUUUUUGUUCCUGUUUUUCCAAGUUUGAUUAAAUUGAAAAUAUUGAAAAAUGCAGGAAAGAAACAGAAAUUAAAUUUUUUUCUAUAUUUUUUUACCAUGAAAAUAGUGAAUAGUGAAAGAAACAAUUCUGUUUGGUUCAAUUUUCAAAUAAAAUUUACACAAUAAUUUUUUAUAAAAUUAUUUUUGAGAGCUAAGAAAACCCAUGGUUUCAUAUAUUUUUUAUUUUAUAAUUAAAAUUAUUUUUACUGAAAAUAAUUUUGAAAAAUUUGAAGACAUCUUAUUAACAUUUUUUUAAAAAUGCAUGGAUUUUUUGAGAAAUUCCAUGGAUACAUUAAUGAACAGAGAAAAAAAAUAUUAUAUAUAUGGGUAU